UCCUGAAGAACGGUUCAAUUUGCUCUUCUUUAAAGAGCCCAACCAGUAUGUUAUAAAAUUUAACUACUGGUCGGUUAUUAACCAUAGGAAAAGUGUGAUUUCGUGUAAGAACUAAUCUUAUCGCUACCUCUUGUGCAUGGAAGUGCCAGUAAACAAGCUCUCAUUGGUCAAUGAGUUUGAAGGCACCAUAAAUCAAAAACCGAAAAUCACCGCGGAGUCAGCCAUUUCCAGCACAAAGACAAAAAGGCCAUUUACAAACCAUUUCCUGCCAACCGACCGUUCAGCUCCCCGAAAUCGCCGAGAGAACCCUGGCCGGGUUGAAGAAAAUCUUCUUAAUUAAUUUAUAAAUAUCUGAAAAAGGCAGAUAAAUUAAUGCGCCAAAAUCCGACUAUCAACGGCUGCAGAUGUUCAUAAUCAGAGAUGCCUGCGGUACAUAAUUCAUGUCUGGUUUCUUCACUACUGAAUCUCAGAAAACGAGCUGCAUCGUCGUUGUAAUCGAAUAACUGAUAUCAAUUGAAAUUCGUGAACGGAAAUGGAGGUGAGGUGGCCACACCUCAUAUAGGAGCGGAAACGAAGUCAGUGAACAAGAAUUACAUUGGAACCCAGCGGAACAUCGCCAUGGUGGCGUAGCCUGCAUAAAGAAAUAAAAGAAGUCGACCAGAAGCUAAAUUGACAGCAGGUUAAGGCGAUAACUGGACAUCGCAAGGGUGGAGAUCUUUCAUGUCGGCCUAUCGCACCACUCGAGGUGUACAGGAUCCAUAAAUAAGUAGGCAGUAUUUCCGGAAUGUGACCAAACUCCCAGUGUGCGGACGCGAUCGACGACGAUGGAAGCCAUCAAACGCACCAUCCGAAAUGGGAUGGCUUGUUUUUUUUCGGAAGUAGACUCAGCCAGCGAGCGCAUGUCGUCGUUUCCAGCUCAUAAAUCCGAACGAAAUUAAUUCAUUUUAAAAACGUGUGAGGAAGCGUGAAAUCGAGACCCAUCGGAAGAUGGAGGCAUGUUCCUCGGCGACGAUAUCCGAUCAUCUAUUGUUCGUGAGCAAAACACCCACAUAGCGACCAGGGAUCCAGCAGACGUGGCGUGUAUCGCUGUUACGAUCGUGUAGAACAAUCAAUAUUCAUUUUAUUUAUGACUCUAUUGAAAAACAAGAAGAAAAUUGAGGAAGAGAAAUGAAUAAACAGAAGCAUAAUUUCAUUGCA